rnacentral:rRNA from 1 species
CCCUAUGGGGUGCGCCUCGCGGCGGGACUCAGUAUCGAUAUCGGCAAGAACUGCCUGAUCGGCGGCUAUACCUAUCUCACGGACAGCGAUUGGCACGAUAUCGUCAAUCGAACCGCUUUCGGCAAGCCGCGCCCGAUCAAGCUGGAGGAAAACGUCUGGCUUGGGGACAGCGCUAUUGUUUGCAAAGGCGUUCCAUCGGCAAAAACAGCGUGAUCGGCGCGGGCUCGGUCGUGCGAACCGAUAUUCCGGCCAACUCGGUGGCGAUGGGAAACCCGGCUCAGGUUGUCCGGGAACUCGACCCGGAAACCCGGUAUGUUACAAGAGAGAGCAUGCUGUCGAGCCAACCGCCCGAUUUCGUCAAAAAUCUCAGAAAGAUGGAAAAGGAAUUGGCGGGGGAGC